rnacentral:rRNA from 1 species
AGAUGUUGGGUUAAGUCCCGCAACGAGCGCAACCCUUGUCUUAUGUUGCCAGCGCGUUAUGGCGGGGACUCGUAAGAGACUGCCGGGGUCAACUCGGAGGAAGGUGGGGACGACGUCAAGUCAUCAUGCCCCUUAUGUCCAGGGCUUCACACAUGCUACAAUGGCCAGUACAGAGGGCUGCGAGACCGUGAGGUGGAGCGAAUCCCUUAAAGCUGGUCUCAGUUCGGAUCGGGGUCUGCAACUCGACCCCGUGAAGUCGGAGUCGCUAGUAAUCGCAGAUCAGCAACGCUGCGGUGAAUACGUUCCCGGGCCUUGUACACACCGCCCGUCACGUCAUGAAAGUCGGUAACACCCGAAGCCGGUGGCCUAACCAUUUAUGGGGGGAGCCGUCGAAGGUGGGAUCGGCGAUUGGGACGAAGUCGUAACAAGGUAGCCG